CCCUACGGGGUGCAGCAGGCGGUUGGCUUCUUCAAUGUCAUCCAUACUGACGUCUUCGCUGAUCCGAUGGGUGGCCAGUGCUUCCAGGAAGGUGGAAAGCGAGCUCUCUACCUGAGCCAAGUCUUCAUCACUGGGAUGACUUUGUGCGAGUACUUGGUUGGCUUUUUCAAUGAGAUCGAAGAUCAUUGAAAUCCUUUCAUUCCGCCAUAGGCGGUAAUAGUCUUAGGAGCGUUUACGAAGAAGCAUCUGCAGUGCUUCUUUCAUUUCGCCGGCAGAGCCAAAGCCACCGUCUACGGCCUUUUCGAGAAAAUUGAUCUCUUCCGGGUUGAGGCGGUUUUGGACGUCAUAAGAAUAAGAGGCUUUGUAGCGUGUCGGGGAAUUGGCGGGGGGGC
rnacentral:rRNA from 1 species